CAUGUCACGUCCAUGGCACCACUAGCAGAAUUAAUAUAUGGCCAAUAUCCAUAUAUCUGGAUGCUUCUGUUCCAAAUACAUAAAAAAAUUUGGUAGAAUCAAUAUUAUUAUUACUUUGUAUAUUUUCUCUUAUCCCAAAAAACUCCAAAUAGCCACUCGGAACAUCUCUAUAUCCCUAUAUCCCCCUCUAAGUAUCACAGUCCAUAGUUAGACAAUUCAACAUAUGCUUACCCACCCACAGUGGCAAUGCCAGAUGUUCAUGAUAAAACUCCAAAAAAUAAGCAUAUAUGGUCUAUGCAUAAAUCUUUUGACAUCCACUGCUCAUGAUCAAUGCUGUGACUGUAAUAUAAUCAUGUAUGUAAUCUCUGCUGUGACGGGCAUAAAUGUUUAUUUUCAGCAGAAUUUAUUUCUAUAUCUAUAAAUAAGUACUUUAUUAAUAUAUAGUUUUUCUUCCUAUAGGACCCUGUCAUGUCUCCACCGGGUGGUUUUUCCCUCUUGAGUGCCUCUACAAUUUGCUACCUUUGUGGUCUCUCAGUGGGGAGGGGGAGACGCAGGGCCCUGUGUUCUCUUCUUCCUCCACAAGAUGGUGCUCACUGCGCCAUGAUGGAGGUGUUUCCUCCCCACUGACGGCGUCAGCGACGCUCCCUGGAGCCGUGGACGCCCCGUGCGCGCGCGCAGUGCGCGCGCACGUGACGUCACUGCGGCGCUCGCGAUCGCAACAGAGGGUUGGGGUUAAUUCCCUUCUCUGACGCCGAGGAGCUCACAGCUGGGAGGGUCAUCUGACCCUGGCAUCCUGGUUCAGUUGGAGGAGCCUGUUUGGGAGGGGCAGUCCACCAGGUUGGACAGGGAUUUUCCAAGCAAGGCAUCAGCUGCCUAAGAGUGAUUACCUAAGUGGAAGCACCUGACAUGCACAUACUUAAACACACUAGGUGUACACCUGACACCUGCCUGUGAUCCCAUUCCCAUACCUUACUGGAUACACCACACAGAGGGUAAGACUACAAUCUUCCAAAACUCUGCAGACUUGCAACAACUUUUUUCUGUUGAUUCAUUAUUAUUUAUGAAUCAUAUUCUUUUCUCCAGAUACGCCUACUAAUGCCUCUUCUGGAAUUUGUUGCUACAAUUUAUUAUUAUACAUUCAAACAAGGUAACUUUAUUACAACUCUAUUUAACCUCUAUAAAAACACUAUUUAUUAAUAAUGCACUUUUUUAUCAUCUAGCUGCACACUUUUACACUAAUUUAACUGGCACUCUUUUAUCUAACAUAUUUAUCUACCUUUCACCCUACUAGCCCCCACUUAUAGCAUUUUCGUUUUCUUUUUUGUUUGUGUCCUUUACCAUUCAUUACCAUAUUCACACAUCCCCAUCCACCCAUCUACUCACUUAUUUAAUUCUAAUAUUUAUUUAUUUAUUUCUACCCAACAAUUUUUAUUUUUUUUUCACUUUUCCUGUCUCUCACAUAUUCACUCACACAUACACAUUUCACACUCACUAAGAAAUUCAUCCCUAUACAUACACUUUUGUUUUGAUUCACUACACUUUAUACCAAUAUAUAAUAAUUUUUGGUAUCCUAAUUUGAUCUGUAUUGUAUUUCAUAUAACAAACCGAAAUUAAGUUCGAUUACCCUUCCCAUCAUCACCCCUUCCUUUACACCACUGAACUUUCCAUAUGCACUUACAUAAUUAAGUUUUAUAUGGCAUUUUAGAUAUCCGUCUUUACAUAUAUACUAUUAUAAUGGGGUACAUGUGCAAGUCUAGCGCCAUCUACUGAUACAAUUUAUUUAUUAUUAUUUUUAUACUUUAAAAUAUAUCUAAAUUUGGUACUCAUACCACUCUAUUUUUGAACUCUUAAAUAGGCAUCACUCAGGCAGCUUGCUUUGCUGGGCCCCCUGCCCACCUGCCCGGCCCACGCUCCCUGGCUGUAUUUGGAUUCCUUCCCACUCACACUGUGAGUUCCUGUAGGCCACUCAUAAGGGGCAUUUCUGAGGACUCUCGUGUGGGGGUACAGACCACCCGUAUGGAGACAAGUUAUCAGGGAUCCUCAGGACUUUAAUUCUACUCUGGUCCAAAUAAAACUGAGAAACACAACCUUUUGCAUCAUAUACCUUUUCCUCCGAAGAAGACUCACAUGCAAGGGUCGAAACGCGUCAGGAACAUUUUGACUUAAAGAUCAGCCAAUCAUGUUGAUCAAUGUCAUGCAACUUUGAUGCUUUAUCAUCAUAUGUAUGUGUUCUCAAUGUUUAAACUGUACCAGAGCUCAUUGUUUUAUAAUCAAACUUGUUCUACUUGCUAAAAUAAAUAUCUUUUCUACCUUUUUUACAAA